UGCGAAAUCACCUGGACUUUCUAUAAAUAAGAACCUUCAAGAAACUACGAGAAAUAUCUAAGAUGAUUAACCUAUUUCUUUGAUGGCAUCGACACAAUUAUAAAGAAGGCCAGCCAAUACUACAAUCCGAUUAAUUAUGUGUAGAAACAAUAAUCUGAUAACACAUUUCGCAUUAGUAUAAAUACAAGGAGUAGCUGCCGUAAUAUCAUAACACAAUCAAGUGAUACUAACAAGUCUACUUGUGCUCAAGUGAAAUUUGCUUGAAACAAUUCAUUUAUUUUUAAAUUAUUUCCUCAAACUAUCAAUCAAAAAUGCAGCGCAACCCAGCUUUCCCCUCCGCCAUGAGCUCCGGCUACAAGAGCUUCUCGCCCAGCCCCUGCUUCGGGCCCCCCAGAAACCAGUACAGCGCUGGAAGCUACGCGCAGCCGACACAACCCUUCCAGCCCAACAACUGCUUCAUGACUGCAUCAGUGAUCCGGAAAAUGAGCAACACCACGCCCCCCAGUGGUUUCGGCAGAAAUUACUAAGUCUGUGGAAUAUUGCACACAUUUUACCUGGAAUCUCGAGUAAUUCGUUUCGGUUACCGUUUACUGCUAAUUUAGGUUAAGCAAUCUCACAUUAGUUAUUUAUUUAAUAAGUUUAAACGUGUUAAAGAGUAUGUGAAUUUAAAAGAAAAUGUAUUGUUAUAUUUUAAAAGAAUAAAAUAAAUUAUUGAAGAAAAUAA